AUUGAACGCUGGCGGCAUGCCUUACACAUGCAAGUCGAACGGUAACGGGUCCUUCGGGAUGCCGACGAGUGGCGAACGGGUGAGUAAUGUAUCGGAACGUGCCCAGGAGUGGGGGAUAACUGCUCGAAAGAGCAGCUAAUACCGCAUACGACCUGAGGGUGAAAGGGGGGGAUCGCAAGACCUCUCGCUAUUGGAGCGGCCGAUAUCAGAUUAGCUAGUUGGUGGGGUAAAGGCCUACCAAGGCAACGAUCUGUAGUUGGUCUGAGAGGACGACCAGCCACACUGGGACUGAGACACGGCCCAGACUCCUACGGGAGGCAGCAGUGGGGAAUUUUGGUCAAUGGGCGCAAGCCUGAUCCAGCAAUGCCGCGUGCAGGAAGAAGGCCUUCGGGUUGUAAACUGCUUUUGUCAGGGAAGAAAUCUUCUGGGUUAAUACCUCGGGAGGAUGACGGUACCUGAAGAAUAAGCACCGGCUAACUACGUGCCAGCAGCCGCCGUAACAC
rnacentral:rRNA from 1 species